GAUGAACGCUGGCGGCGUGCCUAAUACAUGCAAGUCGAGCGAACAGACGAGGAGCUUGCUCCUCUGACGUUAGCGGCGGACGGGUGAGUAACACGUGGAUAACCUACCUAUAAGACUGGGAUAACUUAGGGAAACCGGAGCUAAUACCGGAUAAUAUAUUGAACCGCAUGGUCCAAUAGUGAAAGACGGUUUUGCUGUCACUUAUAGAUGGAUCCGCGCCGCAUUAGCUAGUUGGUAAGGUAACGGCUUACCAAGGCAACGAUGCGUAGCCGACCUGAGAGGGUGAUCGGCCACACUGGAACUGAGACACGGUCCAGACUCCUACGGGAGGCAGCAGUAGGGAAUCUUCCGCAAUGGGCGAAAGCCUGACGGAGCAACGCCGCGUGAGUGAUGAAGGUCUUCGGAUCGUAAAACUCUGUUAUUAGGGAAGAACAAAUGUGUAAGUAACUAUGCACGUCUUGACGGUACCUAAUCAGAAAGCCACGGCUAACUACGUG
rnacentral:rRNA from 1 species